AUGGCGGAGACGGGAUCGGGAUCGGCCCCGCCUAGGGCUGCUGCCGGCGGCAUGUACAACAAAGAUUACCACCAUGAUUCUUCCUUGGAAGAUCGAUUUGUGGGUCUGAUUCUACCUGGAGAAGAGGAAGAAGUGUUGGAUCUGUCAGAAGAAAUAGAAGGACUGAUUGAGGAAACACGCUGGAUCAGGAUCUUUAGGGGUGUUACCUUCAAAAUCAGGGGCAGCAACCUGUUCUUGGCCCAAUUUUUGUGUUUGGGCGACUGGAACCGCGUGAUGAACGGAGGCCCGUGGGAGUUCCGUGGUGCGCCAGUGGUGAUCGCUGAAUAUGACGGCAUACCCAAUGUCAAGACUAUAAAUUGGAUCGAAUUCUGCUGUGGACUCGCAUUAGGGGUAUCCCAGAGGGGCUCAUGA
rnacentral:rRNA from 1 species